rnacentral:rRNA from 1 species
GACAGAGGGUGCAAACGUUGCUCGGAAUCACUGGGCGUAAAGGGCGUGUAGGCGGGAAGGAAAGUCAGAUGUGAAAUCCCUGGGCUCAACCCAGGAACUGCAUUUGAAACUCCCUUUCUUGAGUGUCGGAGAGGAAAGUGGAAUUCCUGGUGUAGAGGUGAAAUUCGUAGAUAUCAGGAGGAACACCGGUGGCGAAGGCGGCGUUCUGGACUGCAACUGACACUGAGGAACGAAAGCCAGGGGAGCAAACGGG